rnacentral:rRNA from 1 species
AUACGUAGGGAGCGAGCGUUGUCCGGAAUUACUGGGUGUAAAGGGAGCGUAGGCUGGAGUGCAAGUCAGAUGUGAAAUACAUGGGCUCAACCCAUGGGCUGCAUUUGAAACUGCAUUUCUUGAGUGAAGUAGAGGUAAGCGGAAUUCCUGGUGUAGCGGUGAAAUGCGUAGAUAUCAGGAGGAACACCGGUGGCGAAGGCGGCUUACUGGGCUUUUACUGACGCUGAGGCGCGAAAGCGUGGGGAGCAAACAGGAUUAGAUACCCUGGUAGUCCACGCCCUAAACGAUGAAUACUAGGUGUGGGGGGACUGACCCCUUCCGUGCCGGAGUAAACACAAUAAGUAUUCCACCUGGGGAGUACGACCGCAAGGUUGAAACUCAAAGGAAUUGGCGGGG